rnacentral:lncRNA from 1 species
AGGGAACUUCUAUGGUACACCCGCAAAUUAAGGUGUACCGGUACUCUCGCUUACAUUUUUAUAAAUUAACUAUCAUUUUUUAUGAAAGAAAUAGGUGUUUGUUGACAUAUAUAUUUUAGAAAAUAUUAUUUUAUAAGAAAAAACAUCAUUUUAUUUUUUAGAAAAAUCAUACUUAAUUUUUCUACAUUUUAUUGUAAAAAAUAAUCAAAAUUCUCUAUUAUGAGUAAUAGGAAUUCAGAAAAAUCAAAUUUUAUUGUGUUGACGUUUUUGGUAAAUAAGAUUUAGUUAUUAUAAUUAUAGGUGAUAGAAAAUAUUUUUUCCUACAAAAAAUAACUUAUUUAACUAUUAAUUUAAGGAUUUGGUGUACCAAUACACUCAAAUUGUUGGAUGUACCAUA